rnacentral:rRNA from 1 species
GCAUAUCAAUAAGCGGAGGAAAAGAAACCAACAGGGAUUGCCCUAGUAACGGCGAGUGAAGCGGCAACAGCUCAAAUUUGAAAUCUGGCUCUUUUAGAGUCCGAGUUGUAAUUUGCAGAGGGCGCUUUGGCUUUGGCAGCGGUCCAAGUUCCUUGGAACAGGACGUCACAGAGGGUGAGAAUCCCGUACGUGGUCGCUGGCUAUUGCCGUGUAAAGCCCCUUCGACGAGUCGAGUUGUUUGGGAAUGCAGCUCUAAAUGGGAGGUACAUUUCUUCUAAAGCUAAAUAUUGGCCAGAGACCGAUAGCGCACAAGUAGAGUGAUCGAAAGAUGAAAAGCACUUUGGAAAGAGAGUCAAACAGCACGUGAAAUUGUUGAAAGGGAAGCGCUUGCAGCCAGACUUGCUUGCAGUUGCUCAUCCGGGCUUUUUGCCCGGUGCACUCUUCUGUAGGCAGGCCAGCAUCAGUUUGGGCGGUAGGAUAAAGGUCUCUGUCACGUACCUCCUUUCGGGGAGGCCUUAUAGGGGAGGCGACAUACUACCAGCCUGGACUGAGGUCCGCGCAUCUGCUAGGAUGCUGGCGUAAUGGCUGUAAGCGGCCCGUCUUGAAACACGGACCAAGGAGUCUAACAUCUAUGCGAGUGUUUGGGUGUCAAGCCCGAGCGCGUAAUGAAAGUGAACGGAGGUGGGAACCCGCAAGGGUGCACCAUCGACCGAUCCUGAUGUCUUCGGAAGGAUUUGAGUAAGAGCAUGGCUGUUGGGACCCGAAAGAUGGUGAACUAUGCUUGAAUAGGGUGAAGCCAGAGGAAACUCUGGUGGAGGCUCGCAGCGGUUCUGACGUGCAAAUCGAUCGUCAAAUUUGGGCAUAGGGGCGAAAGACUAAUCGAACUAUCUAGUAGCUGGUUCCU